rnacentral:misc_RNA from 1 species
GUGAAUCAUCGAAUCUUUGAACGCACAUUGCGCCCCCUGGCAUUCCGGGGGGCAUGCCUGUCCGAGCGUCAUUGCCAGGCAGUCAAGCGCGGCUUGCGUGUUGGGCCGCCAUCCAGCCCCCUCGGGGCGGGAUGGGCCCGAAAGGCAGCGGUGGCACCGUCCGGUCCUCGAGCGUAUGGACUCGCUCCGCAGGCCCGGCCGGCGCUGGCCCACCCUAAAAACCUCGAAAAGGUUGACCUCGGAUCAGGCAGGGAUACCCGCUGAACUUAAGCAUAUCAAUAAGCGGAGGA